AUACGUAGGUGACAAGCGUUAUCCGGAUUUACUGGGCGUAAAGGGCGUGUAGGCGGUCUUGCAAGUCAGAAGUGAAAUUCCUGAGCUCAACUCGGGCGCUGCUUCUGAAACUGCAGGACUUGAGUGCUGGAGGGGAUAGCGGAAUUCCUAGUGGAGCGGUAAAAUGCGCAGAUAUUAGGAAGAACACCGGUGGCGAAGGCGGCUAUCUGGACAGUAACUGACGCUGAGGCGCGAAAGCGUGGGGAGCAAACAGGAUUAGAUACCCUGGUAGGCCACGCCGUAAACGAUGAAUACUAGGUGUAGGGGGUAUCGACUCCCUCUGUGCCGCAGUUAACACAAUAAGUAUUCCGCCUGGGGAGUACGGCCGCAAGGUUGAAACUUAAAGGAAUUGGCGGGG
rnacentral:rRNA from 1 species